UACGGAGGAUCCAAGCGUUAUCCGGAUUUAUUGGGUUUAAAGGGUGCGUAGGCGGCUUAUUAAGUCAGGGGUGAAAGACGGUGGCUCAACCAUCGCAGUGCCCUUGAUACUGAUGAGCUUGAAUGGACUAGAGGUAGGCGGAAUGUGACAAGUAGCGGUGAAAUGCAUAGAUAUGUCACAGAACACCGGUUGCGAAGGCAGCCUACUAUGGUUUUAUUGACGCUGAGGCACGAAAGCGUGGGGAUCAAACAGG
rnacentral:rRNA from 1 species